UACAAUGUCUUUUAUUUAAUAGACGCCCAGAGUCACGGUGCAAUCUUUUUCUAACAUAGAUGUUAUGAGUAACCCUCACGGUCUGGAUGUCGUUUUACCUUCUCCAGACUGCCGUGCUCGCGGUUGUUCUUAGAGCAAACCAGUACUCUAUUCCAUUGAAAUAUAUGGAGGGGUAGUGAGUGGAUCUUCCCUGGAAGUAUGAAUUUGAAUAUACUUAUGAUUAGAUUUUCUUCACGCACAUUU
rnacentral:snoRNA from 1 species